rnacentral:pre_miRNA from 1 species
AGUGGAAUUGCUGCAUUAUAUGGUAAUUAUAUAUUUAACUUAUCAAGAAACUGCCAAAUUGUUUUGAAAAGGUUUCACCAUUUUUACAUUUCCACUAGCAAU